UACGGGGGGGGCGAGCGUUGUUCGGAAUUACUGGGCGUAAAGGGCUCGUAGGCGGCCAACUAAGUCAGACGUGAAAUCCCUCGGCUUAACCGGGGAACUGCGUCUGAUACUGGAUGGCUCGAGUUUGGGAGAGGGAUGCGGAAUUCCAGGUGUAGCGGUGAAAUGCGUAGAUAUCUGGAGGAACACCGGUGGCGAAGGCGGCAUCCUGGACCAACACUGACGCUGAGGAGCGAAAGCGUGGGUAGCAAACAGG
rnacentral:rRNA from 1 species